UAGAGUUUGAUCCUGGCUCAGGACGAACGCUGGCGGCGUGCUUAACACAUGCAAGUCGAGCGGAAAGGCCCUUCGGGGUACUCGAGCGGCGAACGGGUGAGUAACACGUGAGCAACCUGCCCCAGGCUUUGGGAUAACCCCGGGAAACCGGGGCUAAUACCGAAUAUGACCUCUGACCGCAUGGUUGGUGGUGGAAAGUUUUUCGGCUUGGGAUGGGCUCGCGGCCUAUCAGCUUGUUGGUGGGUGAUGGCCUACCAAGGCGACGACGGGUAGCCGGCCUGAGAGGGCGACCGGCCACACUGGGACUGAGACACGGCCCAGACUCCUACGGGAGGCAGCAGUGGGGAAUAUUGCACAAUGGGCGGAAGCCUGAUGCAGCGACGCCGCGUGAGGGAUGACGGCCUUCGGGUUGUAAACCUCUUUCAGCAGGGACGAAGCGUAAGUGACGGUACCUGCAGAAGAAGCGCCGGCCAACUACGUGCCAGCAGCCGCGGUAAGACGUAGGGCGCGAGCGUUGUCCGGAUUUAUUGGGCGUAAAGAGCUCGUAGGCGGCUUGUCGCGUCGACCGUGAAAACUUGGGGCUCAACCCCAAGCCUGCGGUCGAUACGGGCAGGCUAGAGUUCGGUAGGGGAGACUGGAAUUCCUGGUGUAGCG
rnacentral:rRNA from 1 species